AUUGCUCCGGUUAUUAUGUUAAUUUUUUUAUUGAUUGUAAAUAACAAUCAAAUUUAAAUUUAAUUUUAAAUAUACAUUUAAAUGUUAAUUUUAUUUAAUUUAAAAUUUUUAUUUUAUCUUAAAUUCUUAGUUGAAAUCUAAUAAUAUAAUUUAGAUUUAAAUUUAUGAAAUUUUUAAUUAAAAUUAAAAUUUGAGUUUAAAUCGUGGCAUAAAUUUAAUUUUGAAUAUCAAACUUAAAUGAAUAAUUUAAAAUUUUAAAUAAGGUGGAUUAAUUAAAUUUUAAAUUUGAACUGAAGGUGAAUUAAAAUUUU
rnacentral:lncRNA from 1 species